GAUGAACGCUGGCGGCGUGCCUAAUACAUGCAAGUCGAGCGAACGGACGAGAAGCUUGCUUCUCUGAUGUUAGCGGCGGAAGGGUGAGUAACACGUGGAUAACCUACCUAUAAGACUGGGAUAACUUCGGGAAACCGGAGCUAAUACCGGAUAAUAUUUUGAACCGCAUGGUUCAAAAGUGAAAGACGGUCUUGCUGUCACUUAUAGAUGGAUCCGCGCUGCAUUAGCUAGUUGGUAAGGUAACGGCUUACCAAGGCAACGAUGCAUAGCCGACCUGAGAGGGUGAUCGGCCACACUGGAACUGAGACACGGUCAGACUCCUACGGGAGGCAGCAGUAGGGAAUCUUCCGCAAUGGGCGAAAGCCUGACGGAGCAACGCCGCGUGAGUGAUGAAGGUCUUCGGAUCGUAAAACUCUGUUAUUAGGGAAGAACAUAUGUGUAAGUAACUGUGCACAUCUUGACGGUACCUAAUCAGAAAGCCACGGCUAACUACGUG
rnacentral:rRNA from 1 species